GGGAGCUGCGAGGAGGGGGUGGCCGCAGGAGCAGGAGGACGACUCUUUCAGCCUAGCCGACUCAUGGACACGCUGAAGCCAUUUAAAGCCACAGCACCCUGUGCCCCCGGAGGAUGUCUUCCCGGUCUGGGGUGAAGGAGCCAGGGCCACAAAGUGGGAAACGGUUGGGCAGGAAAGGCACUGUGAACGGGAAAGUGACAGAGAUGCGAGCAGCCGUGCCACCGAGGUCCCAUAACGUCUGCAAACAACUGCUCCGUGGUCGGGGAGACCCAGAGGGGACAAGACACCACCCCUGCUCCGGAGGCGCUGAGCUUUGGAGAGCGAACUGGCGGUAGUCUGUUAGAAUAAGCAGGAAGGGACGGGGCGCCUGGGCGGCUCAGGGCAUGGCCUCUCGGGUCACAGGUUGAACCCCGGUGGGGCUCCGUGCUGACAGCGUGGAGCCUGCUUGGGGGUCUUUCCCCGCCUCUCCCUGCUCGAGCUCUCUAAGUCAAAAAUAAAUAAACUAAAAGAAAAGAAAA